UACGUAGGGACCAAGCGUUGUUCGGAUUUACUGGGCGUAAAGGGCGCGUAGGCGGCGUGGUAAGUCACUUGUGAAAUCUCUGAGCUUAACUCAGAACGGCCAAGUGAUACUGCUGUGCUAGAGUGCAGAAGGGGCAAUCGGAAUUCUUGGUGUAGCGGUGAAAUGCGUAGAUAUCAAGAGGAACACCAAUGCGAAGGCAGCACUCUGGGACGUGACUGACGCUGAGGCGCGAAAAGCUAGGGGGAGCAAAACAGG
rnacentral:rRNA from 1 species